AUGGGUUUACUGGUGAAAAUUGUCAACUUGCUGCUACUCAGUGUAGUAGUAUCAGAUGCUGAAAUUAAACUCACUCAGUCUCCAGCAUCCAUGACCACAUCAGAAGGAGAGAAGGUCACUAUCACCUGCACUGCCAGCUCAAGUGUAAUUUCUGAUAACUUCCACUGGUACCAGCAGAAGCCAGGAGCCUCCCCUACGCUCCUGGUUCACGGAACCUCCAACUUGGCUUCUGGAGUCCCAGCUCGAUUCAGUGGCAGUGGGUCUGGGACAUCAUACUCUCUCACAAUCAGCAGCAUGGAGGCUGAAGAUGUUGCCACUUACUACUGUCAGCAGAAGAACAGUGUCCCAUUCACACAGUUCUACAAAGCAGAACAAAAACCACCUUGGCUAUUUCAGACACCACUGCUUCCUCCUUAG